GGGGUGUCGGGCGGCGCUGGCGCAGCCCCAGCGCUCUCCUCGCCAGCGCCGCCGGCGAAAAACCCCUCAGACACCUCCGUGACCCCGCAAGAGGCGCCUUCUCGGUUCGCCGGGCAGCGACGGGACAAGGGCGCGGGCCCACCAUAAGCGUGAAACAAGGUGUAUGGUCUCAUUCCAUUCUCACUCAGUGGAAAGCUGAAUAUGGCCCAGCACCCACAUGGAUGCCUCAGCUCCUUUACUUGCUUUCUAAGCCAAGCAGACACAAGUCAUCUUUUGCCUGGAAGCUCUACAGCCCCUGUCACAUAAGUUGGUGUGUCAGGAACCUUCCUAAGAUGACAGGUCACUGGAGAGCACAUACACAGAGAAAAUGGGACCAAGCUGACCCUCUCCAGCAACUUGACAAGGUUUUAUGGUUUUUUUUUUAUUUCACCUAGAAAAAGUGCAUGAGAAAUUAUUAAUCCAGCUCUGUGCAUUAAGAGAAAUGAAAGUAUAUUAAGAGUUUGUACAGGUCACAGUUUAAUUUUUUUUAAGUUUUGCAAAACCUCAGGGUAAUACUAAACCAGGACUUGCUUCUUCUACCAGAGCACGCUGUACAUGCCCCCAAAGCUUUUCUUGCAUUCUUCUGCUGUGGAACCCUACCAGCUUUCCUUAGCCUUCUGCUUAAGAAAGCAUCUGUUGGGGUUUGUACUCAGCUAUUUGUGAUUUUGGGUAUGACUCAUGAAGUGUAGAAGCGUU